rnacentral:lncRNA from 1 species
CGAAGGGUUAACCCUUUCCAGCCCGGAGCUGGGGAAGCCAGUUGCUCCUCACGUCCGCCUUUUAAGGCCAACGCUCUCCUUGCCCCGCUCUGCUCCUUCUCAUGGCGGCGGCUUUUCCCUUGGCGGCGGCUUGCGGUUUAAAGCCUCCCGGGAGUCCUUUGCAGAAGCAGCAGCGCCCAGGCUUCUCCUGAGCAGAAAAGCAAAACAAGAACUUCUUUGUGCAGUACAUACAACGAUUGGAGAUCUAAGCAGAAACCAAGGAGCAGAGUUGCUUGCCUUAUCUCGGCGUGAGACCAGGACUUAUCAUAUCCUUUCUUGGUAGUCUUGGAAAGUCUUCUGUCUUCACUGGUUCAUGGAAUAUUGUGCUGUUUUGUAUGUUCAGAGAAAUGUAUCUACCUAAUUAGCACCUUGGGGACUUGAUAUGGACAGGGAAUGUAAUUAAAAACCUAUACGUAGAUACUAAAGGAGAAAUGUACUUGGACUGCAAAUCACUUGUUUUACACAUCUGAAAAUCAGCAGAUAAGGGGCAACCUAGAGGAAGCAGAAAUGUAACUCCAGGAUAACUAUAUGUGUGUGACAUAGAAUAGAUAAGUAGUGCAAUCCUAACNUCACUUUCCUUAGACCAAGAACCACUGAGUAUAAUAGAACUUACUUCUGAGUAAGCACGGUUAGGAGUGCACAGUAAACGGGCUACAUAAUUUCAGUCUCUGGAACACCAAUUUACAUGAAAAAAGACAGCCGUAUGAGAAACACCAGCAGGUAUGUCACAAUAUGCAGAUAAUACGCGUUUCAGGGCUAGCUAGCCAUGUACAUAUGGCUUUGAUAUUUUCUGACUCAAACAACUAAUUGCAUAUGCAAUAUCUGGGCGUGUCCAAUUGGAAAUGUUCAACAAACUGCCCACUACAGAACGAUAAAGUUCUGGAUUAACAAAUGGAAUAAUGUUUAGUUGCUUUAGAAAAUCAGCCACCAUUGGAGUUUUGACUGGAUUUGUUUCAUGCAACUUUGUUUUAUAGAUUAACUCUUGAAUCUUUUGAGAUUGACUCAGUAACAUGCUACUAGAUGUUAACCAUNUAAUGUCUAUUCCCAGAUAAUGAGACAAAUAUCCCAAGUCCUUGAUAACAAAAGAAGAAUUUAACUUAGAAUAUAUUUGCUGAAUUAUGUCAUCCGUUUUAGCUGAAAUANACAAAUCAUCAACAUACAAUAAAAUGAUAACUUGUUGAUCA